rnacentral:tRNA from 1 species
CCUCCGAUAGCUCAGUCGGUAGAGCGACGGGUCAAAAACCCGUAGGCGCUGGUUCGAGUCCAGCCCGGAGGA